rfam:Beta vulgaris subsp. vulgaris Bvchr5.sca022.con0062.1, whole genome shotgun sequence.
GGUCUAUUAGUUCAAAUGGUAGAGCAUUGUGCUAUGCACAAGAUGUGGGUUCGAAUCCCACAUAGGCUA